CCCAAGGGUUCCCGGACGGAAAGUGCCACAGAAAACAAACCGCCCGGAUGGGGUUCGCCCCCAUGCCGGGCAAGGGUGAAAAGGGGAGGUAAGAGCUCACCGCUCCGAGGGUGACCAAGGAGGCAUGGUAAACCCCGCGCGAUGCAAGACAAACAGGGGAAGGGUCGCCUGCCCGCCGGAUCCCCGGGUAUUAGUCGCAUCCGUUUCGUGAAAGCGAACGGGCGCGCGGAACGCCUGACCGCGGUCCGCGUGAGAAAAAUGACCGCACAGCCGGCUCUGGCCGGCGGACAAAAUCUGGCUUACAGAACCUGAUCGGCU
rnacentral:RNase_P_RNA from 1 species